AACGAACGCUGGCGGCAGGCUUAACACAUGCAAGUCGAACGGGUGUAGCAAUACAUCAGUGGCAGACGGGUGAGUAACACGUGGGAACCUUCCUAGGGGUACGGAACAACUCAGGGAAACUUGAGCUAAUACCGUAUACGUCCGUGAGGAGAAAGAUUUAUCGCCCUUAGACGGGCCCGCGUCGGAUUAGGUAGUUGGUGGGGUAACGGCCUACCAAGCCUACGAUCCGUAGCUGAUCUUAGAGGAUGAUCAGCCACACUGGGACUGAGACACGGCCCAGACUCCGACGGGAGGCAGCAGUGGGGAAUCUUGGACAAUGGGCGCAAGCCUGAUCCAGCCAUGCCGCGUGAGUAAAGAAGGCCUUAGGGUUGUAAAGCUCUUUUACCAGGGACGAUAAUGACGGUACCUGGAGAAUAAGCCCCGGCAAACUUCGUGCCAGCAGCCGCCGUAA
rnacentral:rRNA from 1 species